GAAAUAGAGCGACAGUUUUGCCCUUUCUACUUGCCUCAACUAUAGUUUUGCCAUUGCUUUAAGGGCGAUAAACGCUUCGGAAGACGGUGAUCGACAGAGACAGAAACGCUGAGAGCGAAGAAAUAAUCCGCCUCUUUCCACCCACGCAGCGUCUAUUAGGAGUCACUAUCAUCCAUGCAUGUUGCUUGAUCGUCCCACACCGCAAAGAUGGUCAAAUCAACUCCAAUUUCUUAUUUUCCAUCAAAAUCAAACUUUCUUCUCAUGAUUUCAUAUUUGAGUAACUUUUGAUUUUGCUUCUGAUAGUUUCUGUGCAUCGCGGUCAUGGUUAUUAAUGAUUUUGAUUUGUUCGUUUUAGGUAUUUUAGUCGCCUGCUUAAAGCUUUAAAAUUAGGUUCCAGAGCCUUUGGAUCCGAUAGAGGAAUUUGAGUUGCAAUCUUCUUCAGAUUGAGGGGAUUGAUGGGAAUUUGAAGAAAUGGGUUUUAUGUUGUUAGUUAAAACGGGUUGUUUGUCCCGCUGAACAAAGUUCGAGUCUUUUCUCAUGUAAAUUGAGAGGCUUAAAAGGAAUUUGAAGAGAUAGAAGAGUAGAUGACAGAGCUUCAAACUCUUAUUUAGUUGGAUGGCAAUAUCGACAGAAUAAAUCCUCUGCAGAUUUCAACUACUCCACAGGAUUAUGGGCACUAAUUACGGAUUUACAGUGAUCAUGAUUUGACUGUGUUUGUAAAAACUCAAGAGGAAGUUGAUAAAGACAGGAUCAGUAAAAUGCCAGAUGAUGUUCUCUGCUUUCACGUCAAACAGUUGUUGUUCUGUACAUAUUCUUAAACACCUUUGUGGAGAGGAGACCUUACGUAUUCCAAAAGAUGAAGAACCUAGCUGUGAUCGCGUAAGAAGACUUGCGAACCAUACAUUCAGCCAUAUGGGUAAGCAUUAUCCCUGGAACUGUGUUGAUGGUUAUGGCUGGAAGAUUCAAGGGCAAUAGGGUUGUCUUUUUGAAGCAUCAUUCUUCUUGCUUGCUUUUGGUCACUGUUAAGUUUGGUUUUUCUUAACUAAGUGAAAAAUUGUUUUUACUUUUGGUUACCAAGUAGUGCCUUUUGAUGAAUGUACAUUUAGUUUGCUA